AGCGGAAACUGCGGCUUAGUUAGCUGUUGAACUGGCUUCCGAAGCGGAAACUGCUGGUUAGUUAGCGGUUGAACAGGCUUCUGAAGCGGAUACUGCGGCUUAGUUAACUGUUGAACAGGCUUCUGAAGUGGAAAUUGCGGGUUAGGUAGGUGUUGAACUGGUUUCUGAAUCGGAAACUGCUGGUUAGUUAGCUGUUGAACAGGCUUCUGAAGCGGAAACUGCGGCUUAGUUAGCUGUUGAACUGGCUUCCGAAGCGGCAACUGCUGGUUAGUUAGCGGUUGAACAGGCUUCUGAAGCGGAUACUGCGGCUUAGUUAACUGUUGAACAGGCUUCUGAAGUGGAAAUUGCGGGUUAGGUAGGUGUUGAACUGGUUUCUGAAGUGGAAACUGCUGGUUAGUUAGCUGUUGAACAGGCUUCUGAAGCGGAAACUGCGGC